CACGUAGGGUGCGAGCGUUGUCCGGAAUUAUUGGGCGUAAAGAGCUCGUAGGCGGUGUGUCGCGUCGGCCGUGAAAACCUGGGGCUUAACUCUGGGCUUGCGGUCGAUACGGGCAUCACUGGAGUUCGGCAGGGGAGACUGGAAUUCCUGGUGUAGCGGUGAAAUGCGUAGAUAUCUGGAGGAAUACCGGUGGCGAAGGCGGCAUCCUGGACCGGCAUUGACGCUGAUGAGCGAAAGCUAGGGGAGCAAACGGG
rnacentral:rRNA from 1 species